GAUGAACGCUGGCGGCGUGCUUAACACAUGCAAGUCGAACGAUGAAGCCCAGCUUGCUGGGUGGAUUAGUGGCGAACGGGUGAGUAACACGUGAGUAACCUGCCCUUAACUCUGGGAUAAGCCUGGGCAACUGGGUCUAAUACCGGAUAGGAGCGUCCACCGCAUGGUGGGUGUUGGAAAGAUUUAUCGGUUUUGGAUGGACUCGCGGCCUAUCAGCUUGUUGGUGAGGUAAUGGCUGACCAAGGCGACGACGGGUAGCCGGCCUGAGAGGGUGACCGGCCACACUGGGACUGAGACACGGCCCAGACUCCUACGGGAGGCAGCAGUGGGGAAUAUUGCACAAUGGGCGCAAGCCUGAUGCAGCGACGCCGCGUGAGGGAUGACGGCCUUCGGGUUGUAAACCUCUUUCAGUAGGGAAGAAGCGAAAGUGACGGUACCUGCAGAAGAAGCACCGGCUAACUACGUG
rnacentral:rRNA from 1 species